rnacentral:rRNA from 1 species
AGAGUUUGAUCCUGGCUCAGGAUGAACGCUAGCUACAGGCUUAACACAUGCAAGUCGAGGGGCAGCAUGAUUGAAGCUUGCUUCAAUUGAUGGCGACCGGCGCACGGGUGAGUAACACGUAUCCAACCUUCCGUACACUCAGGGAUAGCCUUUCGAAAGAAAGAUUAAUACCUGAUGGUAUCUUAAGCACACAUGUAAUUAAGAUUAAAGAUUUAUCGGUGUACGAUGGGGAUGCGUUCCAUUAGGUAGUAGGCGGGGUAACGGCCCACCUAGCCUACGAUGGAUAGGGGUUCUGAGAGGAAGGUCCCCCACAUUGGAACUGAGACACGGUCCAA